ACACUCCUACGGGAGGCAGCAGUGGGGAAUAUUGGACAAUGGGCGCAAGCCUGAUCCAGCCAUGCCGCGUGAGUGAUGAAGGCCCUAGGGUUGUAAAGCUCUUUCACCGGAGAAGAUAAUGACGGUAUCCGGAGAAGAAGCCCCGGCUAACUUCGUGCCAGCAGCCGCGGUAAUACGAAGGGGGCUAGCGUUGUUCGGAAUUACUGGGCGUAAAGCGCACGUAGGCGGAUCGAUCAGUCAGGGGUGAAAUCCCAGGGCUCAACCCUGGAACUGCCUUUGAUACUGUCGAUCUGGAGUAUGGAAGAGGUGAGUGGAAUUCCGAGUGUAGAGGUGAAAUUCGUAGAUAUUCGGAGGAACACCAGUGGCGAAGGCGGCUCACUGGUCCAUUACUGACGCUGAGGUGCGAAAGCGUGGGGAGCAAACAGGAUUAGAAACCCGUGUAGUCCCAUG
rnacentral:rRNA from 1 species